CCGGCGCACGGGUGCGUAACGCGUAUGCAACCUACCAUCAACAGGGGGAUAACACUGAGAAAUUGGUACUAAUACCCCAUAAUAUCUCAUGCGGCAUCGCUUGGGGUUGAAAACUCCGGUGGUUGAUGAUGGGCAUGCGUUGUAUUAGCUGGUUGGUGAGGUAACGGCUCACCAAGGCGACGAUACAUAGGGGGACUGAGAGGUUAAACCCCCCACAUUGGUACUGAGACACGGACCAAACUCCUACGGGAGGCAGCAG
rnacentral:rRNA from 1 species